GGAAGGAUCAUUUAUGAGUUUGAACAGGACUUGAUGCUGGCUAUAUGCAUGUGCUCAGUUCUACUCAAUCCAUUAUACACCUGUGCACUUUCAAAGUUGUAGUCCUCCGUCAUGGGAGCCGUGCCUUGUCAUGAGGUACUGGGACUAUAUGCUUUGCCCUUUAUUACAAACUUUAUUAUUGUCUUGUAGAAUGUUAAUAGCCUAAGGGCUUAACUUAAUACAACUUUCAACAACGGAUCUCUUGGCUCUCGCAUCGAUGAAGAACGCAGCGAAAUGCGAUAAGUAAUGUGAAUUGCAGAAUUCAGUGAAUCAUCGAAUCUUUGAACGCACCUUGCACUCCUUGGUAUUCCGAGGAGUAUGCCUGUUUGAGUGUCUGUAAAUCAUCAAUCCAUCUUCACUUUGUUGUGGAGUUUGGAUUGGACUUGGGGAUUGCUGUCCUUUACAGGUUGGCUUCCCUUAAAGAUAUUAGUUGGACUGAGUUGCAAUGCUACGUGUAGUGUGAUAAUAUCUUCACUGCAUAGUUGUAAUGAAGUCUAGCUUCUAACAGUCCUUUACUGGACACUACUUGACCAUUAGACCUCAAAUCAGGUAGGACUACCCGCUGAACUUAAGCAUAUCAAUAAGCGGAGGAAAAGAAACUAACAAGGAUUCCCCUAGUAACUGCGAGUGAAGCGGGAAGAGCUCAAAUUUAAAAUCUGGCAGUUUCACUGUCCGAGUUGUAAUCUGGAGAAGCAUUUUCCGUGUUGGACCGUGUACAAGUCUCUUGGAAUAGAGCGUCAUAGAGGGUGAGAAUCCCGUCCAUGGCACGGACUACCAAUACUUUGUGAUAUGCUCUCGAAGAGUCGAGUUGUUUGGGAAUGCAGCUCAAAAUGGGUGGUAAAUUCCAUCUAAAGCUAAAUAUUGGCGAGAGACCGAUAGCGAACAAGUACCGUGAGGGAAAGAUGAAAAGCACUUUGGAAAGAGAGUUAAACAGUACGUGAAAUUGUUGAAAGGGAAACACUUGAAGUCAGUCGCGUUGUCUGAGACUCAGCCUUGCUUUUGCUUGGUGUAUUUCUUAGUUAACGGGUCAACAUCAGUUUUGGUUGGUAGAUAAAGAUUGAAGGAAUGUGGCAUCUUCGGAUGUGUUAUAGCCUUCUCUCGUAUAUACUGGCUGGGAUUGAGGUCUGCAGCAUGCCUUUAUUGGCCGGAGUUUACUCACGUAACAUGCUUAGGAUGUUGGCAUAAUGGCUUUAAGUGACCCGUCUUGAAACACGGACCAAGGAGUCUAACAUGCUUGCGAGUAUUAGAGUGGAAAACUCUUAUGCGUAAUGAAAGUGAAAGUUGGGACUCUUCAUUGAGGCACCGACGCCCGGCCCUGAAGUUUACGGACGGUGCUGCGGUAGAGCGCGUAUGUUGGGACCCGAAAGAUGGUGAACUAUGCCUGAAUAGGGUGAAGCCAGGGGAAACUCUGGUGGAGGCUCGUAGCGAUUCUGACGUGCAAAUCGAUCGUCAAAUUUGGGUAUAGGGGCGAAAGACUAAUCGAACCAUCUAGUAGCUGGUUCCUGC
rnacentral:misc_RNA from 1 species